rnacentral:rRNA from 1 species
UAGGGAAUAUUGGACAAUGGGGGCAACCCUGAUCCAGCCAUGCCGCGUGAGUGAAGAAGGCCCUCGGGUUGUAAAGCUCUUUUGUCCGGAAAGAAAAGCUUCGGGUUAAUACCCCGGGGUUCUGACGGUACCGGAAGAAUAAGCACCGGCUAACUUCGUGCCAGCAGCCGCGGUAAUACGAAGGGUGCAAGCGUUACUCGGAAUUACUGGGCGUAAAGCGUGCGUAGGUGGUUGUUUAAGUCUGAUGUGAAAGCCCUGGGCUCAACCUGGGAAUGGCAUUGGAAACUGGGCAGCUAGAGUGCGGUAGAGGGUAGUGGAAUUCCCGGUGUAGCAGUGAAAUGCGUAGAGAUCGGGAGGAACAUCUGUGGCGAAGGCGACUGCCUGGACCAGCACUGACACUGAGGCACGGAAGCGUGGGGAGCAAACA